rnacentral:rRNA from 1 species
CUUUCUUUGCUGGCGACCGGCGCACGGGUGAGUAACACGUAUCCAACCUGCCCUUUACUCGGGGAUAGCCUUUCGAAAGAAAGAUUAAUACCCGAUAGUAUAAUGAUUCCGCAUGGUUUCAUUAUUAAAGGAUUCCGGUAAAGGAUGGGGAUGCGUUCCAUUAGGUUGUUGGUGAGGUAACGGCUCACCAAGCCCUCGAUGGAUAGGGGUUCUGAGAGGAAGGUCCCCCACAUUGGAACUGAGACACGGUCCAA